rnacentral:rRNA from 1 species
CAGCAGCCGCGGGAAUACGUAGGUGGCAAGCGUUGUCCGGAAUUAUUGGGCGUAAAGGGCUCGCAGGCGGUUUCUUAAGUCUGAUGUGAAAGCCCCCGGCUCAACCGGGGAGGGUCAUUGGAAACUGGGAAACUUGAGUGCAGAAGAGGAGAGUGGAAUUCCGCGUGUAGCGGUGAAAUGCGUAGAGAUGUGGAGGAACACCAGUGGCGAAGGCGACUCUCUGGUCUGUAACUGACGCUGAGGAGCGAAAGCGUGGGGAGCGAACAGGAUUAGAUACCCCUGUAGUCCCUGUCUCUUAUAA